UGCGGGGUGGGCUAAGGGGAUGCCGGGAGGCUUUGAACCUCCAAAUCCAGGUUCGAGUCCUGGCCCCGCAG
rnacentral:tRNA from 1 species